rnacentral:lncRNA from 13 species
AUGACAUAUAGAAAAGGGUGGCGUUGCCCUAACGCAGAAAGGAAUAUAGCGCAAGGACUAAGGAGUGACCGACUUGCCAAGAUGUCCUGGCUGGGUGUGGUCCCACUGGAAGGCCACGCCUGGGUGUUGCCCUCUGGAAGGCCACACCUGGAUGUUGUCCCACUGGAAGGCCACACCUGGGUGUUGCCCACUGGAAGGCCACGCCUGGGUGUUGUCCCACUGGAAGGCCACGCCUGGGUAUUGCCCACUGGAAGGCCACGCCUGGGUGUUGUCCCACUGGAAGGCCAUGCCUGGGUGCUGCCCACAUUGGAAGGUCCAGGCUGGCCUAGCGAGGGCCACAGGAGAGCCCUGAAGCUGGGGGAGGGUCUGAAGUCAGGGGUCCAUGGGGCAUGGGCCAAGGCUGGGUGCUCUGGCCACGUCGGCUGCAGGGAACGCCCCGGCUCAUCUCUGCUGCUGACAACAUGGUCUCAGGUGGGAAUUCUAGAUCACGCACCCCAAGUUGCAACCCAGCUCUGGGAUUACAACACAAGCGGCUGGGACCCCAACCAUGAUUACACAAUGCCUUUCCACAGCUGUGGGAUCCUAGUAGCAAGACCUUCACAAGCCUGUCCUCAGCACCCAAACACCCACCGAGAGCUGUGUUUCAGCUCAGCUGACUGCCCUGCAGGAAUUAAAACCAGAGACGUGCUUCUGCCCCAUGUGCAUAAACUAAGGGCUCAGUUACUGGGCGGCCGCCCUCCCCAUCCAGGGCGGGUGAACACUGUCCUGUCUCUGGGCGGCCACUCUCCCCGUCCAGGGUGGGUGGACACUGUCCUGUCACUGGGCGACCACCCUCCCCAUCCAGGUUGGGUGGACACUGUCCUGUCACUGGGCGGCGGCCCUCCCCAUCCAGGUUGGGUGGACACUGUCCUGUCGCUGGGUGACCGCCCUCCCUGUCCAGGGUGGGUGGACACUGUCCUGUCUCUGGGUGGCCACCCUCCCCAUCCGGGUUGGGUGGACACUGUCCUGUUGCUGGGCGACCACCCUCCCUGUCCAGGUUGGGUGGACACUGCCCUGUUGCUGGGCAACCGCCCUCCCCAUCCAGGUUGGGUGGACACUGUCCCGUCACUGGGCGACUGCACUCCCCGGCCAGGGUGGGUGGACACUGUCCUGUCUCUGGGCGACCACCCUCCCCGUCCAGGGUGGGUGGACACUGUCCUGUUGCUGGGUGGACAUUGCAUGCCUUUCCUACAGGGCCCCUCCCAUGGAGAUCUCUGCCUCAUUUGCAUUGCAUGGGGAGGGCAGGGACCAUGGCUCUUAGUGGCCAGUACACUUGGCAGGUGCUCUGUGGGUGUCUUCUGCCGAGUGGAUGGGGGACGGGAGGCUGAUGGCUACCAGGGACCCUCCUGCCUCCACUGCCCUCCACACCCAUCCCCUCUACCCACAGACCUCAGGGAGGUGCUCUGGAGGGGCCUGCAUCUGAGCCCUCUCUGCCCCAGCAUCUCACACGACAACUGGACGUAA